UACGAAGGGGGCUAGCGUUGCUCGGAAUGACUGGGCGUAAAGGGCGCGUAGGCGGUUUGUACAGUCAGGUGUGAAAUUCCCGGGCUCAACCUGGGGGCUGCACUUGAUACGUAUGGACUGGAGUGGGGAAGAGGGUCGUGGAAUUCCCAGUGUAGAGGUGAAAUUCGUAGAUAUUGGGAAGAACACCGGUGGCGAAGGCGGCGACCUGGGUAGAUACUGACGCUGAGGUGCGAAAGCGUGGGGAGCAAACAGG
rnacentral:rRNA from 1 species